rnacentral:lncRNA from 1 species
CUGUAAUUGCAGUUAACAAAAUAAAAUUAGCAAACGAAUCCAAAAAAAUACCAAAGUUUCACAAGAAACAAUCUUUGUCGACUAUUCACUAUAUAAAAAGGUUUUGAAGUGAAACUCCAACUCGACAAUAAAAUUGACAUCCGAUCUUACCGGAUCCCACUCAACUAUAUAAAACUUCUUCGGAGAUGUACUGAUUUCUAAACAUCGUAUGUGACAACUUUCACGAAACAUUCUCAAACUUUUAUCACAGACUCCACAUAUGAUAUCAUGAUAUUUUAACAAAUAUCAUGUUUUUCAGAUGUUGAUUGGGUUUUAUAUAAUUUAAAAUAAACUCGGCCACAAGUCCGUGCUCAUGCUUCAUAAGCAAGAUGUUUAAAAUUUGAUGUAACUUUCUAGAUUUUAACUUUAAUCGAUUUAAAAUAAUAUGAAUAUCAUUUUUCAUUUAUUUUUUUAAAUUAUUCGAACCACUUGUAGUUCAUAUUUGAGUUAUCUCUAAAAAUUUAACUAAAUGAGGUAAAUUAACUAAAUAUAGCAAAUAGAUUGAGAAAGGUACCAACAUUUCACAUGGAUUCAAGAUUACUGUAUAACAUUAGUAGAAAAAGUUUGGAGGCCAAAAGAAAAUAAAAAAUAAAAAGUUUGCCGAGUGUCGGCAUAAAACACUAGGCAAAUCUGUAACUUUGCGG